rnacentral:rRNA from 1 species
UACGGAGGAUCCGAGCGUUAUCCGGAUUUAUUGGGUUUAAAGGGAGCGUAGGCGGGCUUUUAAGUCAGUUGUGAAAGUUUGCGGCUCAACCGUAAAAUUGCAGUUGAUACUGGAAGCCUUGAGUACAGUAGAGGCAGGCGGAAUUCGUGGUGUAGCGGUGAAAUGCUUAGAUAUCACGAAGAACUCCGAUUGCGAAGGCAGCUUGCUGGACUGUAACUGACGCUGAUGCUCGAAAGUGUGGGUAUCAAACAGG